rnacentral:misc_RNA from 1 species
GAUGAAGAACGUAGCGAAAUGCGAUACUUGGUGUGAAUUGCAGAAUCCCGUGAACCAUCGAGUCUUUGAACGCAAGUUGCGCCCGAAGCCAUCAGGUUGAGGGCACGUCUGCCUGGGCGUCACAUAUCGUUGCCCAAUGCCUAUUGCAGUGCAAUAGGAAUUUCUAGGGCGAAUGAUGGCUUCCCGUGAGCGUUGUUGCCUCGCGGUUGGUUGAAAAUCGAGUCCUUGGUAGGGUGUGCCAUGGUAGAUGGUGGUCGAGUUAGAACGAUACCGAUCAUGUGCAUGCUCCCCAAAAUAUGGCCUCUAUGACCCACACGCGUCUUUUGACGCUCAUGACGAGACCUCAGGUCAGGCGGGGCUACCCGCUGAAUUUAAGCCUAUCAAUAAGCGGAGGA